GUCAGGAUGGCCGAGCGGUCUAAGGCGCCAGACUCAAGGCAACUUGCCCGUGCAGCACGGGUUGGGCGUUCUGGUCCUCUCUGAGGGCGUGGGUUCGAAUCCCACUUCUGACA
rfam:Papilio machaon contig38901, whole genome shotgun sequence.